ACCUGGAGCCCUGGGCAGGGUUCCGGGGAGGUUUCCCUCGGAGAGAAGGAAGCUAAGAAGGAGGAGGGUGAACCGGGGAUCGCUGGCAGCGGUUCUUAAGAAACAAGCCCAGGAGGGCGCCAGGCGGGAGGCUUCGGGGGCUGCGUGUGCUGGUUGAUCCUCCGCAUCCCCACGGCCUUUUGGCCAGUGAGGCUAUGGCCAAGGUCGCGGGUACCCUCGUGCCUCAUGCAGGUCUCGUGGAAUAAACUCAGUGGCUCUCAACAUCCGCGUCUAAACAAGCCGACUUUGUGACAUGUGGCUCCCCUUCUGGCUUCAAGGGGAAGUAACCCCGCGUCCCACGCUUAGCCUCUUCACGCGCACCUGUGACCUUCCGUUUCCGUGGACCCUCCCCGACGCACGUCCAGGCUUAACGCCUGUUCUUAAAAUAACCAUGAUCCGUGACACCUGCUCGUUCCUGCAGAGCUAGUUCUCUCUGCACGAGUCCUUUAGACAGGCCAGUACAUCAACCUCACCAUCAGCUCUUGGGCAGAGGCUAAAAUCCCAUCCGCUCUGAACCCCUGCCUCCUACCCUCCCAUUUUCAUCACCAUUUUCAUUUCUCCUCAGUGAGGGAGGCCUCCAUUCUUUCUAGCCGCCCCAUUUCUCACCUCUGUCCCUACAUGAAUCCCAGCCCAUCAGUGACCUCCAUGCUGUAUCACUUUCUUGGCCUCAGCUAGCAGGUCCCAAGAAUGUUCCCACCCCAUCCACUGCUGGCAGCAGCCACUCUAAUGACCCACCCCGCUCCUCCCAGGUUUCUCAGCACUGCUCACGGUGGCCCUCCAUUCAUCUCAGGCUGCCACAAGCUUCUGCCCCUUCACCUACAGAUUAUUCAAUAAAGAAGGUCAUGGCUCCAGGGUGAAGUCCUCCCCUUCCCACUCCCCUCCUCUCCAUUGGAAUGUCCAUCUUCCGUCUCCUCCAUCUCAAGAGAUGACCAAAGCCCUGGUUUUCUUCUUGCUCAAGGCUCUACUUCAUCUGGAUCCUGAGUCCCUUCCUGGCUCCUCUGGGAUCAGCCUGUGUCACUGAUCUGGCCUUCUUCUUCCUUCCUUCCUGGGCUCCUUCCCCUUGAGAAUCAGGACCAGCCUCCUGGCACACAGCCUGGGCUAAUCCUACAGAUCCCAGCUCUUAGAAGAGCCCCGCGCUGGUUUCACACUCUGCUAUUGUGGUCCUUAAAUUCAUAACAAUGUAACAAGAGGACUGGAAGUUUCAUUCUGCAUUGGGAUCCACAGGUUAUACAGCUGGUCCUGAUGAGCGUAAAUACUCAAGUGUUUUCUCUUAAAAACUACAUCUUUAUGAAGGCUGCCUCUCCGUGGCUUAUCUCUUCUUCACUUCCUGAUCAGCUUCUGAAAGCAAGAGCUACAUUCAUUUCUCAGCAUCGUCACCACCUCUUUGCUCCACACCCCAAAACAUCUGAUGGACAGCCCUCCCUGCUAUUCUGAGA
ensembl:lncRNA